rnacentral:rRNA from 1 species
UACGGAGGGUGCAAGCGUUAAUCGGAAUUACUGGGCGUAAAGCGUGCGCAGGCGGUUUGUUAAGUCUGUUGUGAAAUCCCCGAGCUCAACUUGGGAAUUGCAAUGGAUACUGGCAGGCUGGAGUAUGGUAGAGGAAGGUGGAAUUCCCGGUGUAGCAGUGAAAUGCGUAGAGAUCGGGAGGAACACCAGUGGCGAAGGCAGCUCGCUGGGACGUGACUGACGCUGAGACGCGAAAGCGUGGGGAGCAAACAGG